AUGGACGUUGUGAGUUCAAUAAUCUCCUCCUUGCUGGGGAAACUCGUGGAGAUUAUUAAACAUGGAUCAUCAGAUGAACAUGCGAGCCGCCAGGAAUCGAUGGGGCACAGUCUGAAACCUGAGCUACUUGAAAUAUCUGGAUCCACUUGGUUUAGAGAGGAUUGGAAAAUAUCUGGUCCCCGAAAAUAUGUGCUGCUACUGGCAACUUUGGUAAUAACCGUAACCUACCAAGCUGGUCUGAAUUCCCCAGGGGGAUAUUGGCCGGACACUGAAUCGGAACACAGCAGGUGCCAAGGAAGCAACAAGCUCAAAUAUGUACUUUUCUUAUGCACAAAUGCAACGCCAAAUAUCACGAGAAUCAUAUCACGAGAAUCUGUAUCUUCUUCUACUGAAACGCCAAAUACCAGGAGACAAGGAAGUAACAAGCUGAAAGAUGUACCGUGGAAGGGGAGUCGGACACUUUUCUCAUGCACGGCUGUAGUAGCAUUUUGGUAUACCUGGCAAAAUCUGCUUGAAGCCCAAGUGGGGAAUCGGACAAUUAUCACAGUCACGGUUAUAAUAUGUCUUGUGUGUACCAUUGUGAUUAUGUUUAAAGCCCAAGCGGAUCGCAACCUUGCAAGCGCCUCGAGAGACUCUGAAUUGCUUUCCGUGGCAAGUUAUAAGGAGACAAUUGAACCGGAAAAUACCAGUUGUUCCGAUUCCAUGGCUGCCUUUAUUGCCGUAGCUAAAAUCCCAGCUACUUGGCUUGUCGGGUCUGCCUCUACACACCAUGCCACAGGAAACCGUGCUCUCCUCUCUGGCUUCAAAAGUGUAGAUGGUCACAACAUCCAUACGGGUGAUGGCGUGCGCAUGCCGGUCUGUGGACGUGGCUGCGUGAUUACGGAUGCCGUGGUUCUUCCCGACGUGUUGUUCGUGCCGGGGCUGAAAAAGAACAUUGUCUCGGUAAGCCAGCUCACUCAGCUUGGCUGCAGCAUUGUAUUCAAGCGUGAUGCCUGCUACAUCUCGGGUGCCACUGAUGGUACUACUAUUGGCAAAGCGCUCGUCGGAGAAAAUGGGAUGUUCAAGCUGGAAUUCCUCAAAGUCCCGCUUGUCAACUAG
rnacentral:rRNA from 1 species